CUCCUCUGAUUUUGUACCUACCUUCCCUCUGCCUACUCUCUCCCUCCCAAACAGAUUAUGUUAAGGAUGACUCUGGAAGAGGAGAUGGCUGGAAAAACACAAGAAGCACACACAUCUGUGCUCUCUCUCUCCCCCCACUGGGUUGCUGAGCACACAUAGAAACCCCAGACUGCAGUCCCCAGCAGGCCUGUGACAAACCACAAGCAGGACAUGUUAACUGUGAUUCUCUCACAAAGUCCUUUUUAGGCUACACCAGCAGAUUUUACUCUUCUUCCUUCUCCAGGUUGCUGUGGGAGUGUAACUGAUGCACUUCAUUAGGGUUUGAAAUUGUCUUGUGAUUCUACUCCUGUAGCUUUGGAUAGAUUCAGGCCUGAUGGACUGGAAAUCAGAUGACAAACCAGAGGAAAUCCCACAGGCUGUGGCUGCUGAGGGUUGUUGGUGUGGAUGUGGCAAUGAAAGUGCCUUGUCCUGCUCCCAGCAAAUGGAAGUGGUGGUUUGGUGAGGGUGUCACUAUCCCAGGGAUGUUUUCCAUUCUCACUCUGCCAGAGCUGCUCCUGCUGAUGCAGCUGAACUGAGAUGGGAAACCAGGAGCCAAGAAAUCAAGCAUAGGCAAGAUCCAGAGUUUGCUUACAAGAAAGUUCUUUUGACACCUCUGUGAAGAAGAAUCUGGAAAUCAAAAACUUGAGCUGGUUCUGGGCACAAGCAUAAUAUUGCUCCUUACUGAUGUCUAGCAGUUACCUAAAAGACUGAAUAUAUAACUUGGCUUUUCAGGUGAUACAUUUGUUUUCCUCGUGCUUCACAAGCCCUGUUCUUGCUGCUGCUCAGGAUUCAGAAAUGCCAUCACAUCCAGCAGUUUGUAGUGCUUUCCCCAGUGUGUUGCUGUGUUCAGCUCCCUCAGACAGUCACACUGGGCUCUACAGUCACACGUGUUUUGCAAUAUUCCUCUGCCACUCAUUUCCAUCAGCGCUGUCUCUGCUGCGAAGUUUUGUCACAGGACAAGAUGGACAGCGUUGUUCAGAGCAUUUCCCAGAGGCUCAAUAAGACUUUUUGUUUCUGAAGUCAAGGGUUUGUUAAACUUCCUGGGAAUGAGACAGUCCCCACCCUCUUGGAAGAUCAGGAGAAGCAGGUCCAAGGAAGAAAGGAGAUUAAACACCAGCUACUGGAUUGAUGGACCCCUUUGCUUUACUUCCUUCAUAAUAUAUGGACAUAAACCAAAAUCUUCCAUCUCACGCUUUGACAUUUCUGGCAAACAUAAAAUACAGACCAAUAGAAAAACAAAAGUAGCACAUACCAGGAAUCAGUUCCACAAACCCAACUUUGUUUUACUUUGCUGCCACAAAACCCUUAUCCCCAUAUUGUUAAAAUAAUUCCUUCUCUUCCCUCCUACAUUUAAGUUCAGCUCCCUUGAUAGAUAGUCCAUUCCUUUUUAGUGUCUACUGUCUUUGUGGUAACAUUUUUAUUUGCUGGAUGAAAGGGUAGGAAACCCACUGGUGAUUUUCCUUUGCUGUUUAUUUUAUGCAGAAUUUCCUCAGAUGCUCCAGCGUGGGUAUCUGGGGAUCUUUUCUUCUGUAGUACCCAGCAUGGAAGAGUCUUGAACCCUGUUACACAUACAGUAAAUACUCAGCAUUAGCAACAUAUCAAUGCUUAGUUGUCCUUAAAUAAUUGUUGUUGCCACUGGCUGGAAAACAGAAUAAAUGGGAGGGGAGGGAUACCCUGGGCAAGUAUUGAUUGCUGUUCCAAGAUAUUGCCAAAAAAUGAGAUCCACAGAAACUACAGUAAAACAUUACAGUACAAGUUGGUGAGAUACCGUGUUCUGAAUUGUUUUCAACUUUGCUGAUAAUAUUAUUGAUCUUCUAUAUCCAAGGGGACUUGGUUUCCUAAGUAUUUUCAUUACAGCUUCUGGCUCACCUACAAGCACACUAAACCAAGAAUACUUUGUCUGGGGAAGUAAGUGGUCUCUGGUCUGCCUUGCCCUUGAAUUGAAUCUGACUUCUAAGAGACUUCCUCAGCCCUGAUGUCGUCAGCAGAGCACAGUGUUAUGUUGGAACAUGAGGAAAAUAUUAGAUCAUGGAAAAUAACUUACUCUAAUUCUUUCAUCCUAGGUUAUUGUUCUUUUAGAGUCAUAACAAAUUAGGAAGACUAUGUAGAGCAGGGAAAAAGAAGAAAAACACCUUACCCCAAAAAACCCCCAUGGAAGAAAGCAGACCCUGGCUCAUGAUGUCUUUGCCUUGUGUUCUGAUGUGCCCCUACUCUUGUCCCUUUAAUAUGCAUCAUGUAUUUUUCAGAAUGUGCUCUCCACUGUUGUGCAUGGAGCUGUGAGUUACAGAUGUUAAUAGGAUGUGGUAGAAAUUAGUUUUGAAAUUUCUGGUGAAGCAGAUUUUUCUGGAUACAGUCACAGGCUGGUGAAAUGAUCCACAAGUGGUGCUGAAUGUCUGUGAUUUCACUGUUUUGAAAAUAUACAUCCCAGGAGUGGGGCUGAUUGAAACAGCUGCAAAAAAUGGCACUUUUAUUUUAAGUGUUAAGGAGAGAUGACAAAGGGCAUUUUCUGCAAACUGAGGCUAGUGAACAUGUUG